GCGCGGGUGGUGGAAUUGGUAGACACAUCGGGCUUAAAACCCGCCGCUUUCCGAAAGGGGCAUACGGGUUCGAUUCCCGUCCUGCGCACCA
rnacentral:tRNA from 1 species